GCAGCUCCAGCUUCUUCCCUCCCUCCCCAUGAAGAAGAGUUCCCUCCUCCUCCUCCUCCUGCUUCUCCUGCUCAGAGUUCCUGCCUCCAGCUGCCAGGGGGACAGCCAGCCAGCAGCAGGAGGGAUAAAUUGGAAGUAAGUUUAUGAGCAGCCUCGGGAGCCUGGGCGCAGAGUGCAGGGCCGGAGCGGGUGACAGAGGCGGCGUGCCGGGGGCGGCGGGGAGGGGGCGUCACAUUGUCCCGGCGGGGGGCCGGCCGGGGGCUGCGGGCGGGGGC
rnacentral:sRNA from 1 species